rnacentral:lncRNA from 1 species
UACAAGUGGUCCAGAUUUGAGUGCUGAAACCUUGCCACGAAGGGUCAAAAUAAUCUCAGCCUCUAAGUAAACCUGAAAUGCAGUCGAGGCCAUAAGGACUGCAACAUACAGUUGAAUUCUAGGGCUGUACUAGGCUCAUAGACAAUGGACUGAGGGUCGGGGGACAUGACAUACUGAGACACCAGCUGUGGCAGCCAAGGGAUUGCUGGCAUCACCCAUUCCCUAGACUCAAGCUGCACAACAUAAGGCUCCAAAAGAGAUCCCUGUCUUCUGCUUAGGGAGAGGAGAGGGAAAAGUGGAGAGGACUUUUUUAUACAUCUAGAUAACAGCUCAGCCACAGCAAGACAGGGCAACAGUUGGAGUUGUGAGGCCCCCAUUCCAGGCCCUAUCUCCCAGAUAACAUUUCUAGACACACUCUGGGCCAGAAGGGAUGCCAUUGCCUUGAAGGAAAGGACCCAGACCUGCCAGCAUUUAUCACCUGCUAUGUGAGGAGACCCAGGUAAUUCCCAGGACUUGACUCUUGGAUGGCAUUUCGUGACCUGCCCUGGACCAAAGAGGUGCCCACUACGCUGAAGGAAUUGCAGAAUGAACAAGAAUUUCCCAACCAACUAUCUG